rnacentral:rRNA from 1 species
UACGAAGGGGGCUAGCGUUGUUCGGAAUCACUGGGCGUAAAGCGCGUGUAGGCGGAUCGUUAAGUCGGGGGUGAAAUCCUGAGGCUCAACCUCAGAACUGCCUUCGAUACUGGCGAUCUUUGAGUCCGGGAGAGGUGAGUGGAACUCCUAGUGUAGCGGUGAAAUGCGCAGAUAUCGAAGGAAGACACCCCGUGGCGAAGGCGGUCUAUGUGGACGAGUCUGAGAGCGCGAAAGCGUGGGGGAGCAAACAGG